GAAGUAAAAGUCGUAACAAGGUCUCCGUUGGUGAACCAGCGGAGGGAUCAUUACUGAGUUUACGCUCUACAACCCUUUGUGAACAUACCUACAACUGUUGCUUCGGCGGGUAGGGUCUCCGCGACCCUCCCGGCCUCCCGCCUCCGGGCGGGUCGGCGCCCGCCGGAGGAUAACCAAACUCUGAUUUAACGACGUUUCUUCUGAGUGGUACAAGCAAAUAAUCAAAACUUUUAACAACGGAUCUCUUGGUUCUGGCAUCGAUGAAGAACGCAGCGAAAUGCGAUAAGUAAUGUGAAUUGCAGAAUUCAGUGAAUCAUCGAAUCUUUGAACGCACAUUGCGCCCGCCAGCAUUCUGGCGGGCAUGCCUGUUCGAGCGUCAUUUCAACCCUCAAGCUCUGCUUGGUGUUGGGGCCCUACAGCCGAUGUAGGCCCUCAAAGGUAGUGGCGGACCCUCCCGGAGCCUCCUUUGCGUAGUAACUUUACGUCUCGCACUGGGAUCCGGAGGGACUCUUGCCGUAAAACCCCCCAAUUUUCCAAAGGUUGACCUCGGAUCAGGUAGGAAUACCCGCUGAACUUAAGCAUAUCAUAA
rnacentral:rRNA from 1 species